AUCUCCUACGGGACGCAGCAGUGGGGAAUAUUGGGCAAUGGGCGCAAGCCUGACCCAGCAACGCCGCGUGAAGGAAGAAGGCCCUCGGGUUGUAAACUUCUUUUAUUCGGGACGAAACAAAUGACGGUACCGAAUGAAUAAGCCACGGCUAACUACGUGCCAGCAGCCGCGGUAAUACGUAGGUGGCAAGCGUUAUCCGGAUUUACUGGGUGUAAAGGGCGUGUAGGCGGGGGAGCAAGUCAGACGUGAAAUUCCAGGGCUCAACCCUGGAACUGAGUUUGAAACUUGUCUUCUUGAGUGAUGGG
rnacentral:rRNA from 1 species